UACGGAGGGAGCUAGCGUUGUUCGGAUUUACUGGGCGUAAAGAGCACGUAGGCGGCGCCGUAAGUCAGGGGUGAAAUCCCGGAGCUCAACUCCGGAACUGCCCUUGAAACUGCAGUGCUAGAAUCCUGGAGAGGCGAGUGGAAUUCCGGGUGUAGAGGUGAAAUUCGUAGAUAUUCGGAAGAACACCAGUGGCGAAGGCGACUCGCUGGACAGGUAUUGACGCUGAGGUGCGAAAGCGUGGGGAGCAAACAGG
rnacentral:rRNA from 1 species